rnacentral:tRNA from 1 species
AGGCACGUAGAUCAGUUGGUUAGAGCACCACCUUGACAUGGUGGGGGUCGUUGGUUCGAAUCCAAUCGUGCCUACCA